CACUAAUCAUGAGUUACAGAAGGAGUCACAGUACCACUAAUCAGGAGGUAUAGAAGGAGUCAUAGUACCACUAAUCCACUAAUCAGGAGGUCUAGGAGGAGUCAUAGUACCACUAAUCAGGAGGUCUAGGAGGAGUCAUAGUACCACUAAUCAGGAGGUCUAGGAGGAGUCGUAGUACCACUAAUCAGGAGGUCUAGAAGGAGUCAUAGUACCACUAAUCAGGAGGUCUAGGAGGAGUCAUAGUACCACUAAUCAGGAAGUAUAGAAGAAGUCACAGUACCACUAAUCAGGAGGUAUAGAAGGAGUCAUAGUACCACUAAUCAGGAAGUAUAGAAGGAGUCACAGUACCACUAAUCCACUAAUCAGGAGGUCUAUAAGGAGUCAUAGUACCACUAAUCAGGAGGUCUAGGAGGAGUCAUAGUACCACUAAUCAGGAGGUCUUGGAGGAGUCAUAGUACCACUAAUUAGGAGGUCUAGAAGGAGUCAUAGUACCACUAAUCAGGAAGUAUAGAAGGAGUCACAGUACCACUAAUCCACUAAUCAGGAGGUCUAGGAGGAGUCAUAGUACCACUAAUCAGGAGGUCUAUAUGGAGUCAUAGUACCACUAAUCAGGAGGUAUAGAAGGAGUCAUAGUACAUAGCUCAGAUGGAGUCCAGAUGUUUGGUGUGAACCUGACCAGGACUACCACAGUGGAUGCAUAGUCCUGACGGUGAAGCACGGAGGUGGGAGUGUGAUGACAAAUGAGCUGAUACUCAAACAAAGUUUUAAAAAAGUAGUUUCUGUCAUUUUAUUUUGGAUGAAUUGUGAAGAAUUUAGUGAAAACACUGAUGAAAUAUGAUCUGACUUUAGAAGGAUGGAAUGUUUGAUCUUUUUUUCUUGUAUUUUUCCAGUUAAUUACCCC
ensembl:lncRNA